GCAGUCGUGGCCGAGUGGUUAAGGCGAUGGACUCGAAAUACAUUGGGGUCUCCCUGUGCAGGUUCAAAUCCUGCCGGCUGCG
rnacentral:tRNA from 1 species